rnacentral:rRNA from 1 species
UUUUCCUACGGGAGGCAGCAGUGAGGAAUAUUGGUCAAUGGGCGGGAGCCUGAACCAGCCAAGCCGCGUGAGGGAAGAAGGUACAGCGUAUCGUAAACCUCUUUUGUCAGGGAACAAAGGCGGGGACUAGUCCCCGGAUGAGGGUACCUGAAGAAAAAGCAUCGGCUAACUCCGUGCCAGCAGCCGCGGUAAUACGGAGGAUGCGAGCGUUAUCCGGAUUUAUUGGGUUUAAAGGGUGCGCAGGCGGAAGAUCAAGUCAGCGGUAAAAUUGAGAGGCUCAACCUCUUCGAGCCGUUGAAACUGGU